rnacentral:rRNA from 1 species
ACGCUCGACACCUACGGCAGGCAGCAGUGGGGAAUAUUGCACAAUGGGGGAAACCCUGAUGCAGCGACGCCGCGUGGAGGAAGAAGGUCUUCGGAUUGUAAACUCCUGUUGUUGGGGAAAAAGAGGAUGGUACCCAACAAGGAAGUGACGGCUAACUACGUGCUAGCAGCCGCGGUAAUCUGAGCGGGCUGGCAAGGC